UACAGAGGUCUCAAGCGUUGUUCGGAUUCAUUGGGCGUAAAGGGUGCGUAGGCGGCGCGGUAAGUCGGGUGUGAAAUCUCGGAGCUUAACUUCGAAACUGCAUUCGAUACUGCCGUGCUUGAGGACUGGAGAGGAGACUGGAAUUUACGGUGUAGCGGUGAAAUGCGUAGAUAUCGUAAGGAAGACCAGUGGCGAAGGCGGGUCUCUGGACAGUUCCUGACGCUGAGGCACGAAGGCCAGGGGGAGCAAAACGGG
rnacentral:rRNA from 1 species